rnacentral:lncRNA from 1 species
GUUUCUUUCUUCCUCUAAACCAAAUCUAAAAUAAUCAGCAGACACUUCAGAAACUUAUGUUUUAGCUAUAACUCCAUAGGGGAAACAAAGACAUCUCAGAGGUAGAGUCUUCCUUCAGUGAAUUUACAGUAUAAGGGUUCCCAAAAUGUAAUUCACAUUGAGCAACAGACACAAUUAAAUUCUAAACUCCAGGGGUCUGUUAAACCGUGACUCCUCCAGAGCUGGUAACAGUGAGAAAGCACCAUCUUCGCCUUUGGUCAGUGUGUUCUCUCUGCCACAG